rnacentral:rRNA from 1 species
UACGUAGGGGGCAAGCGUUGUCCGGAUUUAUUGGGCGUAAAGCGCUCGCAGGUGGUUCGUCGCGUCGUGCGUGAAAGACCCCGGCUCAACUGGGGGAGGUCGUGCGAUACGGGCGGACUGGAGGCCAGUAGGGGGAUGCGGAAUUCCGGGUGUAGUGGUGGAAUGCGUAGAGAUCCGGAGGAACACCAGCGGCGAAGGCGAGUCCCUGGACAACACCUGACACUGAGGCACGAAAGCUAGGGGAGCAAACGGG